rnacentral:rRNA from 1 species
CCUACGGGCGGCAGCAGUGAGGAAUAUUGGUCAAUGGCCGGAAGGCUGAACCAGCCAUGCCGCGUGAAGGUCAGUGCCCUAAGGGCGUUAAACUUCUUUUGUGCGGGAGCAAUAACGGUCACGUGUGGCCCUUCCAGACUACCGUUCCCAUAAGCAUCGGCUAACUCCGUGCCAGUAGCCGCGGCCAUACUGGGGGUGCAAGCGUUAUCCUGAUUGAUUGGGGUUAAAGGGAGCGUAGGCUGUGAGGUAAGGCAGCGUUGAAAUGCCCCCGCUCAACGGGGUGAAGUGCCAUUGAUACUGCCAAGCUGGAGUGCGGAAGCGGUGGGAGGAAUGUGUGGUGUAGCGGUGAAAUGCGUAGAUAU